GUAUGAGGAUUAACUCACUUGGAAUAAAAUAUAGAGCUCAAUUGAUAAUGACGCCAUCGUUCUCGUGGCUGCAAAAGAAAUCACUUCAUUAUUUGAAUUAUAAAACAAACAGGAAAUCUGAAAAUAAUCAGCUCUCACUGCGAUAUCCUCAAACUUUUAUCUUUUAAUUAUAAAACAUGCUUAUGUUGGGCUUGCUACUAGGAUGAUGGGUCGAGGCUCGCUCAUCAAAUUCCGGUGUGUCAUUUUGGGCCGUAAAGCAAUUGUAAGGAGGUUGAGCCACGUCUCUACAUGACAUGUAUCUAUCCAGCGUCAGAGAUUUGUUCUUCCCUUUUUCUGAAUCGAGGUGCAGUGCAAAGCAGAGCACGGUAACUAUGGUGUCGAUAUCAAGCGACUCUGCCUCUAUGCCCAAAGUAAGCCCUGUUCGGCUCCUGUAUGUGCUAUAAUUCUUCUAAUGUUUUCCUUGUGCGGAUCCUUUUGCCAAAAUCUGAUGUUGCUUGGAUGGGGUGCCUUUUCAAAGGUAGAAUUGCAUAUACAGUUGUUGUCUUCAAUGGUAAUAUACGAGUUUUAUUCAACAAAUUGGAUGAUGUGAUUUCAGAACCCAGUCAACAAAAAUGAUUAUCUUGGAGAAUAUACUGGUGAACUGAUCUCCCAUUAGUGCGAGAAAAUCUAUGAUAGUGCCAAUUCAUUAUUCCUCUUUGACUUGAGUGAUCAGGCAAGUGAUGGUUGCUUUCUUCCUGCCCAUUUUAUUUAACUCCUCCUUUUGGCUAUUGGGAGACCUGGUAGAACUUGGACUAGGUAUCGCCACCAUCCUAUGAUGAAUUCAAUUUGAGACCUCCAAGCUCAAGUCCGAAGCACAAAGCAUUCAAGCAUCCAUUAGGGACAUGCAAGUGAUAGUAGCUGCCCACAAGAUUGACAGCAUAAUAUAAUGGCAUCCAUUCACGUUGGGUGGACAUAGUGUUGAAAAUGCCAAUUUUUAACAAUUAAGAACUAAUAUCAAUAAUACCACUGAUGACAAUUAAGAACUAUAGGUCAUGUUUGAAAUGAGAAACCAGUGUCAACUGGCAAAAUCUAUUCCUCGCGGACAUUAUUUUCAUGGUUUGAUGUGGCAUGCCUCUUCUUCUACAGUAUGUUCUUGAUGCCUACUGCAAAGGAGAUGAGCUGAAAUUUGCAAACCCCUCAUCAAAUCCUAAUUGCUAUGCACAGGUAUGCUUGUCUUGAUGAUCCUUCUUUGCUUCAGUGAGCUAAUUUGUUGAGUGGCCCAGGUGAUGCUGGUGGCAGGAGAUCAUCGAGUAGGCAUCUUUGCCAAGGAACACAUUGAAGCCAUCACUGAGGAGCUAUUCUAUGAUUAUCGUUAUGGGCCAGACCAGGCUCCUGGGUGGACUCGUAAGCCUGAGGGUCCCAGAACUAGAAAAACAAGCGUUUCAAAACCUACAUAGCAAGUAGCUUGUUCGAAUGUAUCAGAAGCAGAAUAUUUCACUAGAUACUUGUAGAAAACAUGAUCCGUGAAUGCGGAAACUUUGCAUUUGCUUUACCACCUUCAA